GCGAAAGUGGUGGAAUCGGUAGACACGCUAUCUUGAGGGGGUAGUGAUCGUAAGGUCGUGGGAGUUCAAGUCUCCCCUUUCGCA
rnacentral:tRNA from 1 species